rnacentral:rRNA from 1 species
UGGGUGGAUCAGUGGCGAACGGGUGAGUAACACGUGAGCAACCUGCCCUCCACUUCGGGAUAAGCCUUGGAAACGGGGUCUAAUACCGGAUAUGAGUGCCUGCUGCAUGGUGGGUGCUGGAAAGUUUUUCGGUGGGGGAUGGGCUCGCGGCCUAUCAGCUUGUUGGUGGGGUAAUGGCCUACCAAGGCGUCGACGGGUAGCCGGCCUGAGAGGGCGACCGGCCACACUGGGACUGAGACACGGCCCAGACUCCUACGGGAGGCAGCAGUGGGGAAUAUUGCACAAUGGGCGAAAGCCUGAUGCAGCGACGCCGCGUGAGGGAUGACGGCCUUCGGGUUGUAAACCUCUUUCAGCAGGGAAGAAGCGCAAGUGACGGUACCUGCAGAAGAAGCGCCGGCUAACUACGUGCCAGCAGCCGCGGUAAUACGUAGGGCGCAAGCGUUGUCCGGAAUUAUUGGGCGUAAAGAGCUCGUAGGCGGUUUGUCGCGUCUGGUGUGAAAACCUCAGGCUCAACCUGGGGCGUGCAUCGGGUACGGGCAGACUAGAGUGCGGUAGGGGAGACUGGAAUUCCUGGUGUAGCGGUGGAAUGCGCAGAUAUCAGGAGGAACACCGAUGGCGAAGGCAGGUCUCUGGGCCGCAACUGACGCUGAGGAGCGAAAGCAUGGGGAGCGAACAGGAU